rnacentral:rRNA from 1 species
AUUGAACGCUGGCGGCAUGCCUUACACAUGCAAGUCGAACGGCAGCACGGGAGCAAUCCUGGUGGCGAGUGGCGAACGGGUGAGUAAUAUAUCGGAACGUGCCCAGUCGUGGGGGAUAACGCAGCGAAAGCUGUGCUAAUACCGCAUACGAUCUACGGAUGAAAGCGGGGGAUCGCAAGACGUCGCGCGAUUGGAGCGGCCGAUAUCAGAUUAGCUAGUUGGUGAGGUAAAGGCUCACCAAGGCGACGAUCUGUAGCUGGUCUGAGAGGACGACCAGCCACACGGGAGCUGAGCCACGGUCCAGCCUCCUACGGGAGUCAGCAGUGGGGAAUGUUGGACAAUGGGCGCAAGCCUGAUCCAGCAAUGCCGCGUGCAGGAUGAAGGCCUUCGGGUUGUAAACUGCUUUUGUACGGAACGAAACGGCGAGCUCUAAUACAGUUUGCUAAUGACGGUACCGUAAGAAUAAGCACCGGCUAACUACGUGCCAGCCGCCGCCGUAACAC